CAGCCGCCGCGGUAAAACGUAGGUGGCAAGCGUUGUCCGGAAUUAUUGGGCGUAAAGGGCUCGCAGGCGGUUUCUUAAGUCUGAUGUGAAAGCCCCCAGCUCAACCGGGGAGGGUCAUUGGAAACUGGGAAACUUGAGUGCAGAAGAGGAGAGUGGAAUUCCACGUGUAGCGGUGAAAUGCGUAGAGAUGUGGAGGAACACCAGUGGCGAAAGCACUCUGCUGGGCCGACACUGACACUGAGAGACGAAAGCUAGGGGAGCAAAUGGGAUUAGAUACCCCAGUAGUCCCUGUCUCUUAUAA
rnacentral:rRNA from 1 species